CCUACGGGAGGCAGCAGUGAGGAAUAUUGGUCAAUGGACGAGAGUCUGAACCAGCCAAGUAGCGUGAAGGAUGACUGCCCUAUGGGUUGUAAACUUCUUUUAUAUGGGAAUAAAAUGUUCCACGUGUGGGAUUUUGUAUGUACCAUAUGAAUAAGGAUCGGCUAACUCCGUGCCAGCAGCCGCGGUAAUACGGAGGAUCCGAGCGUUAUCCGGAUUUAUUGGGUUUAAAGGGAGCGUAGGUGGAUUGUUAAGUCAGUUGUGAAAGUUUGCGGCUCAACCGUAAAAUUGCAGUUGAAACUGGCAGUCUGGAGUACAGUAGAGGUGGGCGGAAUUCGUGGUGUAGCGGUGAAAUGCUUAGAUAUCACGAAGAACUUCGAUUGCGAAGGCAGCUCACUGGACUGCAACUGACACUGAGGCUCGAAAGUGUGGGUAUCAAACAGGAUUAGAUACCCGAGUAGUC
rnacentral:rRNA from 1 species